GGUUAAGCGACUAAGCGUACACGGUGGAUGCCCUGGCAGUCAGAGGCGAUGAAGGACGUGCUAAUCUGCGAUAAGCGUCGGUAAGGUGAUAUGAACCGUUAUAACCGGCGAUUUCCGAAUGGGGAAACCCAGUGUGAUUCGUCACACUAUCAUUAACUGAAUCCAUAGGUUAAUGAGGCGAACCGGGGGAACUGAAACAUCUAAGUACCCCGAGGAAAAGAAAUCAACCGAGAUUCCCCCAGUAGCGGCGAGCGAACGGGGAGCAGCCCAGAGCCUGAAUCAGUGUGUGUGUUAGUGGAAGCGUCUGGAAAGGCGCGCGAUACAGGGUGACAGCCCCGUACACAAAAAUGCACAUGCUGUGAGCUCGAUGAGUAGGGCGGGACACGUGGUAUCCUGUCUGAAUAUGGGGGGACCAUCCUCCAAGGCUAAAUACUCCUGACUGACCGAUAGUGAACCAGUACCGUGAGGGAAAGGCGAAAAGAACCCCGGCGAGGGGAGUGAAAAAGAACCUGAAACCGUGUACGUACAAGCAGUGGGAGCCUCUUUAUGGGGUGACUGCGUACCUUUUGUAUAAUGGGUCAGCGACUUAUAUUCUGUAGCAAGGUUAACCGAAUAGGGGAGCCGAAGGGAAACCGAGUCUUAACUGGGCGUUAAGUUGCAGGGUAUAGACCCGAAACCCGGUGAUCUAGCCAUGGGCAGGUUGAAGGUUGGGUAACACUAACUGGAGGACCGAACCGACUAAUGUUGAAAAAUUAGCGGAUGACUUGUGGCUGGGGGUGAAAGGCCAAUCAAACCGGGAGAUAGCUGGUUCUCCCCGAAAGCUAUUUAGGUAGCGCCUCGUGAAUUCAUCUCCGGGGGUAGAGCACUGUUUCGGCAAGGGGGUCAUCCCGACUUACCAACCCGAUGCAAACUGCGAAUACCGGAGAAUGUUAUCACGGGAGACACACGGCGGGUGCUAACGUCCGUCGUGAAGAGGGAAACAACCCAGACCGCCAGCUAAGGUCCCAAAGUCAUGGUUAAGUGGGAAACGAUGUGGGAAGGCCCAGACAGCCAGGAUGUUGGCUUAGAAGCAGCCAUCAUUUAAAGAAAGCGUAAUAGCUCACUGGUCGAGUCGGCCUGCGCGGAAGAUGUAACGGGGCUAAACCAUGCACCGAAGCUGCGGCAGCGACGCUGAUGCGUUGUUGGGUAGGGGAGCGUUCUGUAAGCCUGUGAAGGUGUGCUGUGAGGCAUGCUGGAGGUAUCAGAAGUGCGAAUGCUGACAUAAGUAACGAUAAAGCGGGUGAAAAGCCCGCUCGCCGGAAGACCAAGGGUUCCUGUCCAACGUUAAUCGGGGCAGGGUGAGUCGACCCCUAAGGCGAGGCCGAAAGGCGUAGUCGAUGGGAAACAGGUUAAUAUUCCUGUACUUGGUGUUACUGCGAAGGGGGGACGGAGAAGGCUAUGUUGGCCGGGCGACGGUUGUCCCGGUUUAAGCGUGUAGGCUGGUUUUCCAGGCAAAUCCGGAAAAUCAAGGCUGAGGCGUGAUGACGAGGCACUACGGUGCUGAAGCAACAAAUGCCCUGCUUCCAGGAAAAGCCUCUAAGCAUCAGGUAACAUCAAAUCGUACCCCAAACCGACACAGGUGGUCAGGUAGAGAAUACCAAGGCGCUUGAGAGAACUCGGGUGAAGGAACUAGGCAAAAUGGUGCCGUAACUUCGGGAGAAGGCACGCUGAUAUGUAGGUGAAGUCCCUCGCGGAUGGAGCUGAAAUCAGUCGAAGAUACCAGCUGGCUGCAACUGUUUAUUAAAAACACAGCACUGUGCAAACACGAAAGUGGACGUAUACGGUGUGACGCCUGCCCGGUGCCGGAAGGUUAAUUGAUGGGGUUAGCGCAAGCGAAGCUCUUGAUCGAAGCCCCGGUAAACGGCGGCCGUAACUAUAACGGUCCUAAGGUAGCGAAAUUCCUUGUCGGGUAAGUUCCGACCUGCACGAAUGGCGUAAUGAUGGCCAGGCUGUCUCCACCCGAGACUCAGUGAAAUUGAACUCGCUGUGAAGAUGCAGUGUACCCGCGGCAAGACGGAAAGACCCCGUGAACCUUUACUAUAGCUUGACACUGAACAUUGAGCCUUGAUGUGUAGGAUAGGUGGGAGGCUUUGAAGUGUGGACGCCAGUCUGCAUGGAGCCGACCUUGAAAUACCACCCUUUAAUGUUUGAUGUUCUAACGUUGACCCGUAAUCCGGGUUGCGGACAGUGUCUGGUGGGUAGUUUGACUGGGGCGGUCUCCUCCUAAAGAGUAACGGAGGAGCACGAAGGUUGGCUAAUCCUGGUCGGACAUCAGGAGGUUAGUGCAAUGGCAUAAGCCAGCUUGACUGCGAGCGUGACGGCGCGAGCAGGUGCGAAAGCAGGUCAUAGUGAUCCGGUGGUUCUGAAUGGAAGGGCCAUCGCUCAACGGAUAAAAGGUACUCCGGGGAUAACAGGCUGAUACCGCCCAAGAGUUCAUAUCGACGGCGGUGUUUGGCACCUCGAUGUCGGCUCAUCACAUCCUGGGGCUGAAGUAGGUCCCAAGGGUAUGGCUGUUCGCCAUUUAAAGUGGUACGCGAGCUGGGUUUAGAACGUCGUGAGACAGUUCGGUCCCUAUCUGCCGUGGGCGCUGGAGAACUGAGGGGGGCUGCUCCUAGUACGAGAGGACCGGAGUGGACGCAUCACUGGUGUUCGGGUUGUCAUGCCAAUGGCACUGCCCGGUAGCUAAAUGCGGAAGAGAUAAGUGCUGAAAGCAUCUAAGCACGAAACUUGCCCCGAGAUGAGUUCUCCCUGACCCUUUAAGGGUCCUGAAGGAACGUUGAAGACGACGACGUUGAUAGGCCGGGUGUGUAAGCGCAGCGAUGCGUUGAGCUAACCGGUACUAAUGAACCGUGAGGCUUAACCUU
rnacentral:rRNA from 1 species